UACGGGGGGGGCAAGCGUUGUUCGGAAUUACUGGGCGUAAAGGGCUCGUAGGCGGCCAACUAAGUCGGAUGUGAAAUCCCUCGGCUUAACCGGGGAACUGCGUCCGAUACUGACAGGCUUGAAUCCGGGAGAGGGAUGCGGAAUUCCAGGUGUAGCGGUGAAAUGCGUAGAUAUCUGGAGGAACACCGGUGGCGAAGGCGGCAUCCUGGACCGGCAUUGACGCUGAGGCGCGAAAGCUAGGGGAGCAAACAGG
rnacentral:rRNA from 1 species